rnacentral:misc_RNA from 1 species
GUAGGUGAACCUGCGGUAGGAUCAUUUCCGAAAAACUUUAUACCAACCCUCAAUGUGCACUGUUUUGGGUUACUUUACUCUUCUCCAUUAGGGGACGUUGUUGGCACGGCAUGGGUUUGAUAUCGUACACACUCAGUGUGUCUGUAUCUUAUCCUCUGUUGUGUUUUCCCCGUUUGUGGAGGAGAGGCCUUGAUGCACUACCUCUUUACGAAGGUUGUAUACCAUACGUUUUAAAUCUCGAUAUUAAAAUGAUACGACAACUUUUAACGGUGGAUCUCUUGGCUCGU